UACGGAGGGUGCAAGCGUUAUCCGGAUUCACUGGGCUUAAAGGGUGCGUAGGUGGGCAGGUAAGUCAGUGGUGAAAUCUCCGAGCUUAACUCGGAAACUGCCGUUGAUACUAUUUGUCUUGAAUAUUGUGGAGGUAAGCGGAAUAUGUCAUGUAGCGGUGAAAUGCUUAGAUAUGACAUAGAACACCAAUUGCGAAGGCAGCUUACUACACAACGAUUGACGCUGAGGCACGAAAGCGUGGGGAUCAAACAGG
rnacentral:rRNA from 1 species